rnacentral:rRNA from 1 species
AAUGGGGGCAACCCUGAUCUAGCCAUGCCGCGUGAUCGAUGAAGGCCUUAGGGUUGUAAAGAUCUUUCAGCUGGGAAGAUAAUGACGGUACCAGCAGAAGAAGCCCCGGCUAACUCCGUGCCAGCAGCCGCGGUAAUACGGAGGGGGCUAGCGUUGUUCGGAAUUACUGGGCGUAAAGCGCACGUAGGCGGAUAUUUAAGUCGGGGGUGAAAUCCCGGGGCUCAACCCCGGAACUGCCUUCGAUACUGGGUAUCUUGAGGUCGAGAGAGGUGAGUGGAAUUCCGAGUGUAGAGGUGAAAUUCGUAGAUAUUCGGAGGAACACCAGUGGCGAAGGCGGCUCACUGGCUCGGUACUGACGCUGAGGUGCGAAAGCGUGGGGAGCAAA